UACGUAGGGUGCGAGCGUUAAUCGGAAUUACUGGGCGUAAAGCGUGCGCAGGCGGGCUUUUAAGCCAGACGUGAAAUCCCCGGGCUUAACCUGGGAAUGGCGUUUGGGACUGGGAGUCUGGAGUGCGGCAGAGGGGGGUGGAAUUCCACGUGUAGCAGUGAAAUGCGUAGAGAUGUGGAGGAACACCGAUGGCGAAGGCAGCCCCCUGGGAUGACACUGACGCUCAUACACGAAAGCGUGGGGAGCAAACAGG
rnacentral:rRNA from 1 species